GAAAAAGGACAAGGGUUAGGCAAGGGUUUAUGAUUUUUUUUUUCAAUUGGGACAAUAGGAAUGACAGAGAAACUGUUGGAGUGAGAGAGAUGACAGAGAAAAUGUUGGAGUGAGAGAGAUGAGAGAGUAAGGGUUGAGAGGAAUGAGGGAGGUGAGUAAGGGUUUGGGGGUUUCUUUUUUUUUUUUUUAAUUUUGAGAAUGAAAAUUAUUUAAAUAUCCUUGACCUUAAAACUUGAAUCCAUGAUAAAUGAGGGUAAUUUUGUCUACUAUAAUCCGGUACACAUUGUUAAAACGUACCAACUGAAAAACAGGCGUACGUGUGUUAACAAACCCCUAUAUAUAUAUAUUGGCAGAUAACAUACUUAAAAUUUAUAAUUUUAUCACAACAAAAAUA
rnacentral:lncRNA from 1 species